rnacentral:lncRNA from 1 species
UUGAUCCGGGUUGGGCUUUAAUCCGAACCGGUCGCGCGUGUACAGUCUUGCCACAUCAGUCAUUGGCCUUUCUCGAUGUUGCACUCACUGUUUUCACUGUCCGGGACUCGUCCGUCCGGAGUCCUGACCAUCCAUGGUCAGGGCGAGCAGCGUGCACGAACUACUCGAUGAAAUGCUCAAAAGAAAUCCUGCUGCAGCCCUCCCAUGCUAAUGUCAACAGUGAUGAAUAGGAACAAACAUCAACACGAGUUGAAGAAUAGGGCAGAUUACUCAAAACAAAGUACCACCAACAACAACAACAUCACCGUCUACUGUCAAUCCCGUUCUUCUUCUUCUUCUACCACAUGUAGCCAUCGAGGCGGUUGGCCACCAUGACCUUCUUUUUGUUCUUCUUCUUCAUCUACUACUACUUCCGUCACCUCUCCUUCUUCUUUUGCUUCCCCUUGUUUGUAUGUUUUGCUUCCCAUCCAUGUAGCCAUCGAGGCGGUUGGCCGGGGCGUGGGGCCCGCCGACAUCUUCCUGGCGCGCGACCACGGCGUGGAUGAUCUCCUCAUCGUUGU